UACGAAGGGGGCUAGCGUUGCUCGGAAUCACUGGGCGUAAAGCGCACGUAGGCGGAUCUUUAAGUCAGGGGUGAAAUCCUGGAGCUCAACUCCAGAACUGCCUUUGAUACUGGGGAUCUCGAGUCCGGAAGAGGUAAGUGGAACUCCGAGUGUAGAGGUGAAAUUCGUAGAUAUUCGCAAGAACACCAGUGGCGAAGGCGGCUCACUGGCCCGGUACUGACGCUGAGGUGCGAAAGCGUGGGGAGCAAACAGG
rnacentral:rRNA from 1 species